AAAUCUGAGCAGUGGAUCAUUUGGCUCGUGCAUCGAUGAAGAACGCAGCUAGCUGUGAGAACUAAUGCGAAUUGCAGAACACACUGCACAUCAACACUUUGAACACACUUUGCAGCCCAGGGUUACUCCUGGGGCUACGCCUGUCUGAAGGUAA